UCUAUUGGCUCCAGUUAGACUAACAUUGAUGCUUCAUGUGUUUGAUUCUAUGCAAACUCAGUGACCUUCCUUGUUACUCAGCUAUAAAAACUUCCCAUCAGGCUGUCAGUGGAGUUCACAGCACGUCAGUUUCAACAUCAACCAUGUUUUCUGUAGCUCUGCUGCUGCUGUUGGCAGCUGGAUGUGUGAAGUGUGAACAGCUGACACAGCCAGCCUCUGUGACUGUGCAGCCAGGUCAACGUCUGACCAUCACCUGUCAGGUCUCUUAUUCUGUUAGCAGCUACUGGACAGCUUGGAUCAGACAGCCUGCAGGGAAAGGACUGGAGUGGAUUGGA